rnacentral:rRNA from 1 species
UUGAAAGGGAAACGAUUGAAGUCAGUCGCGUCUUCCGAGAUUCAGCCUUGCUUCUGCUUGGUGUACUUCUCGGUCGACGGGUCAACAUCAGUUUCGCUCGGUGGAUAAAGGCGGGAGAAAUGUGGCAUCGUUCGCGAUGUGUUAUAGUCUCUCCGUUGCAUACACCGAGCGGGACUGAGGAACUCAGCACGCCUUCUCGGAGGUCGGGGUUCGCCACGUUCGUUAAGGAUGUUGACGUA